AUUGAACGCUGGCGGCAGGCCUAACACAUGCAAGUCGAGCGAGCGGCGGACGGGUGAGUAAUGUCUGGGAAACUGCCUGAUGGAGGGGGAUAACUACUGGAAACGGUAGCUAAUACCGCAUACCAUCAGAUGUGCCCAGAUGGGAUUAGCUAGUAGGUGGGGUAAUGGCUCACCUAGGCGACGAUCCCUAGCUGGUCUAAGAGGAUGACCAGCCACACUGGAACUAGCACACGAACCAGAGACGGAAGGGGGGAACGAGUGAGAAAUAUUGCGAAAUGAGCGCAAGCCAAAUGAAGGGAUGCCACGUAUAGAAAGAAGGCCAUCGGGUUGUAAAGUCCUUUCAGCGGGGAGGCGUUACACAACGAGGAAGCACCGGCUAACUCCGUGCCAGCAGCCGCGAUAAUUC
rnacentral:rRNA from 1 species